rfam:Echinococcus granulosus EG_S00115, whole genome shotgun sequence.
GGCUCAGUGAUCCAGGGGUAUGACUCUCGCUUUGGGUUCGAGAGGUCCCGGGUUCAAAUCCCGGCUGGGCCA